AACGAACGCUGGCGGCGCGCCUAAUACAUGCAAGUCGAGCGAGAAGACGUAGCAAUACGUUUGUAAAGCGGCGAACGGGUGAGGAAUACAUGGGUAACCUACCCUCGAGUGGGGAAUAACUAGCCGAAAGGUUAGCUAAUACCGCGUACGCUCCUUGGACUUCGGUUCAGGGAGGGAAAGACGAUACCGUGGGUAUCGCGCUCUUGGAUGGGCUCAUGUCCUAUCAGCUUGUUGGUGAGGAACGGCUCACCAAGGCUUCGACGGGUAGCUGGUCUGAGAGGACGAUCAGCCACACUGGCACUGCGACACGGGCCAGACUCCUACGGGAGGCAGCAGUAAGGAAUAUUGCGCAAUGGGCGAAAGCCUGACGCAGCGACGCC
rnacentral:rRNA from 1 species